ACCGGUGCAGGGACUGUCCCCGCCGGGCAUCUGUGCCCGCUUCGCCUGCGAGCCGGGGCCGGGGCUGCGCGAGCGGCGCGGGACGCUGGGCGGGGAGGGCGCGGCCAUGGCUGGGGACGGGGCGGAGGAGGAAGAUGAGGAGGGGGAAAUGCUGGCGGGGCCCCCGCCGCAGCCCAAUGGCUUCCUCCCGGGGAAGGAGGCCGAGCGCGGCAGCCCCGCGGCCGGGGCGGAUGCUGGGGCGCUCCCGGAGGCGCAGGCCAUGCUGCCUGCCCCGGGCUCGGGCUCGGGCCCGGGCGCGGCGCGGGCGCCCAUCCGGCUCUCCUGGCGCAGGCUGGCGGUGCUGGCCGUGUUCAGCCUCUACUCGCUGGUGAACGCCUUCCAGUGGAUCCAGUACAGCAUCCUGAGCAGCGUCUUCGUGCGCUUCUACCGCGCCUCCUACACCCGCGUGGACUGGCUCUCCCUGGUCUACAUGGUGGCCUACGUGCCGCUCAUCCUGCCGGCCACCUGGCUGCUGGACACCCGCGGCCUGCGCCUCACCGCCCUGCUGGGCUCCGGCCUCAACUGCCUGGGCGCCUGGCUGAAGUGCGCCAGCGUCCGGCAGGAGCUCUACCCGCUCACCCUGCUGGCCCAGACCGUGUGCGCGGUGGCCCAGGUCUUCAUCCUGGGGCUGCCCUCCCGCAUCGCCGCUGUCUGGUUUGGGCCCAAGGAGGUGUCCACUGCCUGCGCUGUAGCCGUGCUGGGCAACCAGCUUGGCACGGCAAUUGGCUUCUUGUUACCACCAGUUUUGGUUCCAAACACAGUUGAUGAUAUUGAUCUAAUGGGGCAUAAUAUCAGCAUCAUGUUCUAUGGAACAGCAGCAGUAUCCACACUUUUAUUCUUAUUAACGGGAGUUGUGUUUGAUGAAAAGCCUAAAUUUCCUCCAAGCCAGGCUCAAGCUGUUCUCCAGGACAUUCCUCCUGAAGAUUACUCUUAUAAACAAUCAAUAAUUAACCUGUUCAGAAAUAUUCCUUUUGUGCUUUUGCUGAUCAGUUAUGGUAUGAUGACUGGGGCAUUUUAUUCUGUCUCCACAUUAUUGAACCAAAUGAUAGUAACACAUUAUCCGGGAGAAGAAGUGAAUGCUGGGAGGAUUGGCUUGACACUGGUGGUAGCAGGAAUGGUGGGUUCCAUUAUUUGUGGUUUGUGGCUGGAUUACACCAAAACAUACAAACAGACUACUUUAAUCGUUUACAUUCUCUCAUUUGUUGGAAUGACCAUAUUUACUUUCACCUUGGACAUUGGAAACCUUGUAAUAGUGUUUGUGACUGGAGGAGUGCUUGGCUUCUUCAUGACAGGUUAUCUCCCACUUGGCUUUGAGUUUGCUGCGGAAAUUACAUACCCAGAGUCUGAAGGCACUUCAUCAGGACUCCUUAAUGCUUCAGCACAGAUAUUUGGGAUUCUCUUUACGCUGGUUCAAGGAAAGCUCAUAACAGAUUAUGACCCUCGUGCGGGAAAUCUUUUCCUCUGUGCGUGGAUGUUUGUAGGCAUUAUUUUAACAGCCUUAAUCAAAUCUGAUUUGCGGAGACACACUGUAAAUUCUGGGAUUUUGAACACAGAUAUUAAAGCUUUUUCUUGACCUUCAAGGAAAUGAAGAUGCCUUUGUGAAGUCUUACUGUAACAGCAUCUAUCACACAGUUUUCUGCCUACUUUAGGUACCAGUUGACAGUCCUACAGAUCAUGAAAAGAAUAACACUGUGUUAAAAAACCAGUCCGAAUCAGCCAUGUGAGGCAGAUGGAAAAAACCUCUAGAAAUGCACAAGUUUCAUGAAAUAGUGAACUGCACUGAUUAGCAUAAUCACUGGAUUUGUAUGUAUGAGUAGUACGAAUUUUGUUAGACUAUUGGUGUGAGUCGUGCAGUAUUACUGAAUGAAGAUGCACAAUUCAUUUUGCCUGAGGCAUAAACGGUUUUAACUUUAUAUUGAAUAUUUAUCAUAGCGUUUUUCAAAUUUGGUAGUCUCAUUGGUAAAGGUUUCUUUGAUUGUUGUCCACUCUCCUGAAAGCAGUGCAUGCUCAGAACCUUAUGGUAAAGAAACUUGCAUCUCAAAAUAUAAAUGUCAUAACAAAUGGCCAGUAAGUUUUUAAUGAAGUCAAUACAUUUGGUUAAUUCAUUUGCCCAAAGUCAUACUUUCCUAAUGCACAAUCCAUUACUGGGGAGAAAGGGACCGAGCAGACACACAACUGAAAGGGAUUGAUAUUUUAGCAGUAUUUUUAAUAUAAAUGUGUUGCAAAUUUUAAACCAGUCCUUCUGUUUGAGGGAUUCUGUCUUUAGCACAAUACAUAGAACAAGAAAAUAAAUACAAAUUUGCAGGCAUGAAUGUGUCAGUGAGUGAAAUCUGAAGCUUUAAUUGCCUUGGGGAAAACCACAGUAUAUGAAACUUGUUGUUCCUCAAUACAGGCAAGAGGAAAGACUUUCUGCAUAAAUUCAUCAUAAUACUUACAGUGGAGACCUAAUAGUGAUCUAUUGAAUUUUGAAACACUUUUACAAAGGUAAAGUGUUCAUAGGCAAUGGAGUGCUAUGACUUGAUAUACCUCCAUCAAAUGCUUUGAAUGCUACUCUAGAUAGCUGAUGUGAGAUGAGUACAUGUUUACAAAAAGAUUGUGCCUUUAUUGCUGAACGUUGUAAACAAGAGCCUUGGCUCCAUCUAAGUUAUAUCUGUGUUGUCUUACGUUGUUGUGGAAAUUCCAUUGUACGUGUUUAAACACCUCCUCUGUGUAUUUGCUGACUUAACAGAAAAUGUCUUCCAUCCUUACCAUGUCUCUGCAUCAUGAACUGUAAUGAUAGUCUCUAGUUAAAUGCUUGUGUUUAUCAUGUAACUUGCAAACAGCUUGCUUAGAAGUAAAACACAUUUGUCCUUCAGCUUUAAACAAAUUGUGAAAGGGAAGUGCUUCACAGCAUCAGCUGGAGCAUCUGCUCUUUGUACUAUGGGUCAUAAAUAAGGUUGAUUUUGUCACAGUGAUCAUGGAAAUCAUGAAUUUGAAUAAAGUCUGUGAAA